rnacentral:rRNA from 1 species
CACCUGCUGCUCCUGCGCCACAUUCUCUGCUCUCGGUAGCGGAGGACGACCUGGUCGUGGUCGUCUGAAGGAGCGGCUGAUAGUAUGCCCCUGUCGCCGGCCCCGUUCAAGUCCCCUCCGCGAAGGACCCGACCAGCCGACUGUAGGGCGCCCCCCGCCGGCCGUCGCCGCUGGACUCGCUCUCAGUAGCCCGUUCCUUCGACAUUCCUCCUGCAGGUCGGAGUCGGAAGUACAAUCAAUAACAUCGGACAUACAUAUAGAGGCAGUCUAGCUAGUUAUAAAACUAUCCUUAGGCAGGGUCACUACCAAGCAAGGUAGGGUUACAAAACAACACUGUGAAAAUGUUCUAAAUACACACCUCUUUUCUUUCAUUCCGGUGGUACCGUAGGCAAUCAAUGGCCUUUUUUUUUAGUCUCUUGGCGUCCUUUUCUCCUCGACGUCUAAGUCUCAGAUGCACUAUAGAGACGGUCUAACGAUGUUACAAGCACGUCCAUGCGAAGAACGAGGAAAAACUCUCAUCGUCCAUUACGUUAGCGUCCAAACAUUACGAGUUAAGGAUGGCACAGAAGUGAUAGUAGAGUCACCUCUAGCUUUUAGCUUUGGUACAGUAAGUACAUCAUGACUUUAAAGUUUAGGGAGGGAGGCAGUAAGUACAGACAAACAUGGGUGUUAGGGUGUACGAGGACGGUCUACCCGAGGUACCGUGAGGUAGUUAUAAUAUAACCUUGCAACACAACUACCUAAGUAUCUACCAAACACUAUAUUAGUAUAUUUCUCAGAGCUUAAUGAAAAGCUCGGGAUACUAGAGAAGACAUGUCCCAGCAGGAGUCGGAUUACAAUAAGAAUAGUAAUAUAUACGAGACACUAUGUCCACAACUCCGUCCCUUUUUCGUCGUUCUCUCCAUAACCGUGAAGUCUUUUCCCACAACUGACAAGACUUAAUUCGGUUUGUACUUUAGACUAACUCCAUCCCUACUUCGAGAAUAAAACGUAUCAUAAAAAUCCGUUAAAGUCUUAAAUGUAUAGUAUAUAUACAGGGAUCUAAUCUAUCAUACGUACGGGAGACAUUGGACGACUUAUAGAGAACCCAUUGAUUUCUACAAGUCUUAUUAGAUUUAAAGUCUUUAAUAAGCACCUAAUACUUACCGUCAAUAUACGGUGGUCUAUCGUUCUGACGAUGAACUUGUCAAACAAUAGACACUUCGAAUCCGCACAAUCUGCUUGAUUUAAACGAUAGUAAAAGGUGGUAAAUAAGGAUUCCGGUAGUCUUGGUAACUGUGUGAAAGCGAUGGGAUACCCUCAGGACAAUGGGAAAAAAAACAGUUACUGGGUGGUCAGUGGUGUUAACGUUUACCAAUCAAAUGAUUAUAAGUCACUGUCAUGUAUAAAUGACAACAAAUAAACGUGUAUACCAAAGAGUUAAAGUGAAGAGUUGUACCAUAAACGUUGAAUUAGUAAUGAGUUGGCUGGACGAAAACCAUAUGAAAGAAUGUUCAAAUUAGUGAAAUUCUAUAUAAUGACAUAGGGGGGAUUUUUUCCAUAUAAUGAUAUUAAAUCAUCCCGCGAGUAAGCUAAGUGUAUUGUUUAAAAUGUGCUAACAUACUCGAAGACGUAUAGACGUGGAUAUAAUCUUAGUCUAGUUUGAGGAUGUAAAUGAUUAUGUGAACUACGGGGAAUUUUACUAACUUUGUUGUAACAAUACGCACUAACAGCUAUUGAGUCCGUGAGUCGACUAAUCCAUCAUUUACCACUGAUAUGGUACAUUCUACGUAAAAGGGAAGUCUUACAUUGUACACAAAAAUACUUAAAAAACUACGCUUUGGUAAACGUGUGAUCGAACGUAGGUGGGACAGUUUCUUUUAUUAUUUUACUAUAGUCAUCAAGUCGUGUUACCGUUCUAUAGUCAUCAAGUCGUGUGGUACCAUCAUGUACGUACCGGGUGGUACAUGCGAGUGAUGAUUGUGGUAUCAGUUAAGUUCGCUGGAUAACGAUCCUUCGCGUACUCGACUACGAUCGUACGGGACUGUUUUGUACUUUUUUGAACAAGAGAUUACAUAGAUGGCGUACUCUCUAACAAAGCUAUGUUAAUAACAUAAAUUCUUUUAUUAAUGGUCCAAGAGACUACACCAUCAAGUGUCCAAGAGACUACGUUCCCGAGACCCAGUAGUCGAAGCCGUUCACCUCCAUGUUCAAGCCCGUACUGCUCGAAAUAAAGUAUUUUUGCACUGAAACUACAAACUUAUAAGGAAGAUUAGAAAAAUUACUAUUGCUCCGAGAGAACUAUCUUACACUUAAAAAGGGAAACAAAACAAUCGAAAAUACGAAAUAACACAAGAAGCAGUUUGUGUUUAGCGAUGGCUGUCCCUGACCGUACCUGCGGUACCUGAAAGUGUUGUGCCGGAAGUCGUGUCAAGGUUGCACGAGACGAGGAACCUGAGACAGACAGACGUGUUGCAGUUGUUGUCGGACUACCACGGAGACCCGGUACCGUACCGUCCUGUACGUCCAGGGCUAAGUUACCUCUGUACACCUCUGCGACCGUACAGCGUGCGAGCGACCUGUGUGUUCUCGUCGGUGUACCACUGACAGAAGUGCCCUAGUGCCCUCAAAAGAAAGAUGGUUCUCGCGGUCGACGGACUUCCCUGUUUUGAUACCUCCCCGCCACUUCUCUACUACAACUUCAUGAUGCACAGCACUCAAGGUCGCCGUGUUUGUACGAUCGGUGCAGAUCGAGACAGAGCCACGAAGGUGAUAAGUAAUUAAAAUCAAGCACGUACUAUAGAUGGUACAAGAAACUUAAUGAUCGUUUAAACGGGCACGAAACGUUGCCCUCUUUUUGAUAAUCUAAAAAACCUCCCAUUUUGAUAAUCUAAUAUGUCCACACUAUCUUAUUAUUUUUUCAGACUUAGUUUACGGGCCUACUCU